rnacentral:rRNA from 12 species
CCCAAAGGUUCCCGGGAUCCAACGGAUCCCUUAGGUACCCUGUCCUUUGCUUCAUAAUAAAAUUGUGAAGACUAAGUGGAAAAAGAUAAAACAAGGGAUUAAAAAAAACGGGUCUCUGG